UACGUAGGGUGCAAGCGUUGUCCGGAAUUAUUGGGCGUAAAGAGCUCGUAGGCGGUUUUUCGCGUCUGCUGUGAAAACUCGGGGCUUAACUCCGGGCCUGCAGUGGGUACGGGCAGACUAGAGUGCGGUAGGGGAGACUGGAAUUCCUGGUGUAGCGGUGAAAUGCGCAGAUAUCAGGAGGAACACCGGUGGCGAAGGCGGGUCGCUGGGCCGUAACUGACGCUGAGGAGCGAAAGCGUGGGGAGCGAACAGG
rnacentral:rRNA from 1 species